ensembl:lncRNA
GCUCAGUACAGCUCGUCUUGCUUGGAUCGAGAUUAACAGGCACCUGAUGAAGUUCCGAGGUGGGACCUUCCCUCUCUCAACCAUUGGCUCCUGUAAAGGGGGCGGUGGCAGGAAGGGGUAGGACAGUAGCAUGUGGAGAUGAGCCAAUACCAGCCCGCGAAAGAAGGGGAAACCCCGCCUCCAACUGGAGCUGUGGAGAUUCUCUCAGAGAAGGGUCAUUGUCCAGCGCUGAUGUCCUCUUCAUCACCAACGGCAAUACUCCGAGUGUUGUAGAUGGGGACCAUGUGAGUCUGUCUCUGUGUUCUUACAAGACUGAUCUGAUCAGGGAGUUACAGACCAUGUGCUCCAGCAAGUCAGAGCCAGACAUCAGUAAG